rnacentral:rRNA from 1 species
AUUGAACGCUGGCGGCAGGCCUAACACAUGCAAGUCGAACGAGUGGCGGACGGGUGAGUAAUGUCUGGGAAACUGCCCGAUGGAGGGGGAUAACUACUGGAAACGGUAGCUAAUACCGCAUACCAUCGGAUGUGCCCAGAUGGGAUUAGCUAGUAGGUGGGGUAACGGCUCACCUAGGUGACGAUCCCUAGCUGGUCUGAGAGGAUGACCGGCCACAAGGGAACUGAGACACGGGCCAGACUCGUACGGGAGGCAGCAGUGGGGAAUAUGGCACAAGGGGCGCAUGCCUGAAGCAGCCAUGCCGAGUGUAUGAAGAAGGCCUUCGGGUUGUAAAGUACUUUCAGCGGGGAGGCGUUACCCGCAGAAGAAGCACCGGCUAACUCCGUGCCAGCAGCCGCGGUAAUU